UAGGGAUUUUUGAACUUUUUAUGGAUGUGAGCUUUGAAUACUUGCAAACUUAUGAUUUUCUACUUUAAGAGAGUAUUUAUAAUCAUCAUUUACUCUUGAGAAUAUCUUAGUAUCAGUUUAGAGCCAUUAGGGAGUGUUUAAUGUGCAUUAAAUGCACCAAAAACAUGCUUAAAACUAGCCAUUACGCGUGCUCAUAGGAAUGGGACAUCCCAUGGUGUG
rnacentral:lncRNA from 1 species